GUAUCAACCGUGGCUUCGGAAUCAUGCUUUAGCACGAGUGGUCGAGUGAUUAAUUCAUUCCGUGCUUCUUUAACUCCUAAGAUUGUGGAGGCCUUAAUUUGUUCUCAAAAUUGGUUAAGGUCCGACGACAUCUCCGUUAUACAAUAUGAGCCAACCAUUCAAGAAAUGGAGUUUUAUGAAUCCAUUGAGUCAGAUCUUACAAAUUUGCCGGCACCAACCAACUCAAGUCCUUCUACGUUCCAAUGAUCAUUUAAUAUGUGAAGCCUUCAUUGGUGUUAUGUUUUAAUUUUUGGCUUAUGUUUCGAACUUCUAAUUUGGUUUGUAAUUUAAUUAUCAAUUUUUACAUUGGGUUGUAUAAUUCUUAAGAUUGUAUGUUUGGAUUGGAUAACCAUGUUUUGUAUGUUUGGAUUGGAUAACCAUGUUCUGUAUGUU